AAUCAGCACUCCCAGGUAGUUUUCUCAGGAACUUCUUUACUAACAAACAUUCCUGAGAAAACUACCUGUGAGUGCUGAU
rnacentral:miRNA from 1 species